rnacentral:rRNA from 1 species
GGUUAACGCUGGCGGCGUGCCUAACACAUGCAAGUCGAACGGUUCUAAGCGCGAGCUUAGGAUAGUGGCGAACGGGUGAGUAAAAGGUAGGAAUCUACCCCUUGGACGGAGAUAGCUACUGGAAACGGUAGGUAAACUUCGAUAAGCCCGAGAGGGGAAAGUGGUGAGACAGCCGAGGGAUGAGCCUACUCUCCAUCAGGUAGUUGGUGAGAUAAAAGCUUACCAAGCCGAUGACGGGUAGCCGGCCUGAGAGGGUGACCGGCCCGAGGGGCACUGAGAUACGGGUCCCACUCCUACGGGAGGCAGCAGGCUAGAAAUUUGGGCAAUGGGGGAAACCCUGACCCAGUGACGCCGCGUGCAGGAAGGAGCCCUUCGGGGUGUAAACUGCUGUCGUGUAGGGAGAAGGGUACUAAGGUGAACAAUCUUAGUACUUGACGGUACUACAGGAGGAAGCCCAGGCUAACCUCGUG